rnacentral:rRNA from 1 species
GAUGAACGCUAGCGGCAGGCUUAAUACAUGCAAGUCGAGGGGCAGCAGGGAUAGCAAUAUUCGCUGGCGACCGGCGCACGGGUGCGUAACACGUAUACAAUCUGCCUUUUACAGGGGGAUAGCCUUUCGAAAGAGAGAUUAAUACCCCAUAAUAGUUGACCGGGCAUCUGGUUGAUUUGAAAGCUCCGGCGGUAAGAGAUGAGUAUGCGCCUGAUUAGCUAGUAGGUGAGGUAACGGCUCACCUAGGCUACGAUCAGUAGGGGAUCUGAGAGGACUAACCCCCACACGGAUACUGAGACACGGAUCCGACUCCUACGGGAGGCAGCAGUAAGGAAUAUUGGACAAUGGGCGCAAGCCUGAUCCAGCCAUGCCGCGUGCAGGAUGACGGUCCUAUGGAUUGUAAACUGCUUUUGUACGAGAAGAAACACUCCGACGUGUCGGAGCUUGACGGUAUCGUAAGAAUAAGGAUCGGCUAACUCCGUG